AAAAUAUGAAGGUCGUCUUGUAUAUCUUGCCAAUCGAAAUUAAAAAUUUAUUGUACUUCCAUGAUGAUUGGCCAACAUUCAAAAAACAUCCAUGUCUGUGUUUCAUAAUUGGCCCUAAAUCUCGUGUACUGAUAGAAAAAUACAUAGUUUAAUGCUAGUCUAUAAAAUCGAAUAAAAUAAAUCGAGGCACGUUGACGACAAAUAUAAAUUUUUAAUAUCGUUGGUCGAUAUAAUGCUCGCUAACAAAAGCAAAAAAAAAAAAAUGAAAGAAAGAAAAAAAAAUUGGGGAAACGAUUCGUUGGGUCGCGUUCCAUUUAUUACAAGAUCCGCCUGGUGGUGUACGUAAUAAGGUCUAGAAAAUUGGCAGGAGGUCCAAACGAUAUACAUAUAAAUGCGUUAGUAGAAUUUUAGGCGGGAUGGUUUUCAUCGGGUUUACCCCCUCUAUAUGUUUCAUGGAGAAUUGCCGCAAGACGGCGCGUGAUUGGUCGCACGCAUGCGUUAGUAGCAUUGAUGAUAUCACGUGUGGUAGAGUGGGGAGAUAUAGAUGGUAGCAGUUAGUAGGACCGCGUGCCGCAAGAGGGUGUUGUAGGAGCAAGCGAGGAAGCGAGAAAGAGGUAGGUCAGGGCUGGGCUCAGUGUAGGCUCGGUGCGUUCACGUACGCGCGUUGCUUUACAUUGUCUUUUGAGCGUCCGCGCGUGCUGCAUCAUUUCAUUCCGAGUGUCUUUUUGGAGCUAUUUUAUAUUAUCUUUUUCUCUUCUUUUCCUUCUCUUUCACUUUUAAUCUCUCUCAGUUUCUUUCUAUCUUUUCUUUCUCUCUCUCUCUUUCUCUCUCUCUCUCUGUCUCUCUCUCUCUCUCUCUCUCUCUCUCUCUCUCUCUCUCUCUCCCUCCAUCCUUCUCUCUUCCGUUUCCGUGCUAUCUCUAUUCAUCGUAACGUUUACGACCGUGGUGCGCGGGGACGACGAGAGUGCGUGGAGAAGAAAACGCGGUAGUUAUACUUAUAAAAUUCGCGUGAACCGAUAAUUUUUCGACGCGUGUUUCUACAAUGGUGAAAGGCGCUUACAUAAUUGUACGCGAGCGCUAAGUUGUAUUCUCUUGGAAAUACGCGUGUGCGUGAUACAAGUGAGCGUGCGCUGCUUUGGACGGAUCGUCUACCACUAUCCACCACUGUUUCGUGCUUCUUUGCGAGUGGCGAAACCUUUAGCAUCUUACUCGCUCUUCUCCUUCGCUCCCUCUAUCGUUUCAACGGUGCUCCAUUUUCGUGGUCUGCCAUCAUACAUAUGCACAUUUAUUUUCUAUUUAUUUUAAAUUACUUAAGAAAGUGAAAACAUUCAAGGGCACAGACCGAUCGACGAUCAUGGCAUUGCACGGGGAAGACGUAGUAAUGAAUUUGUUUAUAUUUUUUGUAUUUGCCGACCCCGUCGAUGGUUUCACUGGGCUAAAUCAGUCGGAGUACACAGCAAUCCCAACCAGGAAAUUUGGAAUUGGUAGUGUUGCUCUGACAGUGACGUCUGAACCAAGUCCUAAACCAAGGUGAAGAUUUUGGACAGUAUAACAAAAUGACCGAUCAGCUAGAACAGCAGCAGCAGCAGCAGCAGCAGCAGCAGCAGCAACAAUCGCAACAGCAGACCAAAGGCAAUGACGAGCCGCGGACAAAUUUGAUUAUCAACUAUCUUCCACAAAGUAUGACGGAGAAGGAUCUCUACAGCUUAUUUGUGACGAUAGGACCUGUUGAAUCAUGUCGUGUCAUGAAAGAUUACAAAACCGGAUACAGCUAUGGUUUUGGCUUUGUAAAUUAUACAAAGGCUGAAGAUGCUAUUACUGCUAUAAACACAUUAAAUGGUCUUCAAGUACAAAAUAAGCGGUUAAAGGUAUCCUUUGCACGUCCUUCUGGAGAAGAGAUAAAAGAAACAAAUCUCUAUGUGACUAAUCUACCAAGAAAUAUAACAGAAAGUCAGAUCGAUGAUAUAUUUAGCAAAUUUGGGAAUAUAGUGCAAAAAAAUAUUUUGAAGGAUAAAUUGACUGGCUUACCAAGAGGUGUAGCCUUUGUAAGAUUUGACAAACGUGAAGAAGCACAAGAAGCAAUUGCACAGCUUCAUGGUACAAUUCCAGAAGGUGGUUCAGAAAGACUCAGUGUAAAGAUCGCGGAAGAACAUGGAAAACAGAAAGCAGCAUAUUAUGCAGGUUGGCAGGCUGGAUAUAAUCAAAGUCGAGGGGGAGGAAGCAGCGGCGGCAGCAGCGCAGGUGGAGGUGGUGGUGUAAGCGGGAGCCUCAGUAGCAGCGCGGGUGGAAGAGGACGAGGUGGCAUCGGUGGACCGCCAGGAAUCGGAAUGGGUAUUGGAGGUGGAGGAGGUGGCGGGCCAGGAAUGCUUGGCAGAGUAGCCGGAGGGGGCUUUGGUCCACGCGGUGCUCAUCAUGGUGGCUUCAUCGGAGGUGGAGGAGGACCUGGAGCAAUGAGGAUGGAGAAGCUACAUCCGCAUCGUUUCAAUCCCAUCGGUAUGGGUGGUGGAUACGUUCAGUCACACUUUUGGUGACCAUCGAGGAACAAGAACGCGACGACGACGACGACGGCGACGACGACGGCGGCGAUGACAGAGAUGGCUGAGAUGGCUAUGCCAUCCGCUUCAAGCAUGACUGUCACUACGUCACUCUCUUUAUCUCGCGCAGGACACCCUAACGAGGAUCGAUCUUCGUAAACUGCCGACGCGAUACGAACUUUGUCAUCUCGAGCGAUCGUCGACCAAACCCCAACGUUCUUCAUUCUCAACCAACAUGGAUACCUCGGGACGACGAGCUGUGAAAUAAACGCGCAUCUGUCGCACGUAUGUUUUGUAUUAAAAGACUCAAGAGGAGAAGCUGGUCUGUCACUAUGGGGAUACAAUGGGUCGAGGUAAGAAAAGGCCACACCGAUUCGCUCAACUUUCUCGGAUCUCCUCUCUACACACAUCUUCGAGGGAUAUGGUUUACGAUAAAACUUUUGUUAUGUCAUGAAUGAUUUAAAAACAAAAAAAAAAAACAAAAAAAAGAAAAAAAAGAAAAAAAUCCAAAACAAAAAAAAAACAAAAAAAAACAAAAAAAAACUAAAAGAAAACAACAAAAAUGAUCGUCUUAGGUAAAUUUGAAUUUCUAUUAUAUAAACAUUUAACAAUGAUUUCAUCGUAAACUUUACUACGUGAGAUACAUAUAUCGAAGAUAUACUAGAAUUUAAGACUACAAUGAUAAGAGAAAAGUUCAUUCUUUCUUUUUUUUUUCUUUUUCUUUUUUUUUCUUUUUUUGUUUCCAUGAAUUUUCCUAUUUCGAUACAUGUAAGUCGUUUCGAAUAAGAGUGAAAUUAGCAUAUCGAUAUUUUAUAUAUAUAUAUGUAUUAGUAUAUUAAUGUUAACAUCUCCAUUAACAGUGAUCGAUCAUUCAAAUAUUUUUAAAUAAGAUAAAAAAUUGCGUUUCUUUAGUCGUUCGACUAUAGUGUAAUUCUUUUUCUUUUUUCUUUCUUUUUUUUUUUUUGUUUCUUUUUAAAACAUCGACACAAACGUUAUAGGUUUGUAAAAAUACACAUAUACACACAGACAGUGAAGUGUAUUUAAUAUACUUUGUAUAUCGAACAAUAUUGUCUACGAAAUUGUCUCUAAAUUCUAAAAGAAUAUAUAUAUAUAUAAAAGAAUAUAUAUAUAUAUAUAUAUAUAUAUAUAUAUAUAUAUAUAUUAUAUGGGUUUUGUUCAAACUAUAAUUUACUGCGUAAGAAUGUAAAUCUUUCUCCCAAUGAAAGAAAAUGAUCUCUCGUAAAAUGUCUACAUUCCUCGUGUGCAUGAUUAAACAUUUAUCGUAUCACCCUUCGA